CGCCAAGGACGAAAGUCUGACGGAGCAACCCCGCGUGAGUGAUGAAGGCUUUCGGGUCGUAAAACUCUGUUGUUAGGGAAGAACAAGUGCUAGUUGAAUAAGCUGGCACCUUGACGGUACCUAACCAGAAAGCCACGGCUAACUACGUGCCAGCAGCCGCGGUAAUACGUAGGUGGCAAGCGUUAUCCGGAAUUAUUGCGCGUAAAGCCCGCGCAGGUGGUUUCUUAAGUCUGAUGUGAAAGCCCACGGCUCAACCGUGGAGGGUCAUCGGAAACUGGGAGACUUGAGAGCAGAAGAGGAAAGUGGAAUUCCAUGUGUAUCGGUGAAAUGCGUAGAGAUAUGGAGGAACACCAGUGGCGAAGGCGACUUUCUGGUCUGUAACUGACACUGAGGCGCGAAAGCGUGGGG
rnacentral:rRNA from 1 species